rnacentral:rRNA from 1 species
GACGAACGCUGGCGGCGCGCUUAACACAUGCAAGUCGAGCGAGAACCCAGGCUUCGGCCUGGGGGACAGCGGCGAACGGGUGAGUAUCACGUGGGUAAUCUGCCCUCGGCAUCGGGAUAG